rnacentral:tRNA from 1 species
GGAGAUGUGGCUCAAGAGGUAGUGUGCUCACCUGGCAUGCGUGGGGCACUGGGUUCGAUCCUCAGCACCA